rnacentral:rRNA from 1 species
AGUGAACGCUGGCGGUAGGCCUAACACAUGCAAGUCGAACGGCAGCACAGUAAGAGCUUGCUCUUACGGGUGGCGAGUGGCGGACGGGUGAGGAAUACAUCGGAAUCUACUUUUUCGUGGGGGAUAACGUAGGGAAACUUACGCUAAUACCGCAUACGACCUACGGGUGAAAGCAGGGGAUCUUCGGACCUUGCGCGAUUGAAUGAGCCGAUGUCGGAUUAGCUAGUUGGCGGGGUAAAGGCCCACCAAGGCGACGAUCCGUAGCUGGUCUGAGAGGAUGAUCAGAGCCACUGGAAAUGAGACACGGUCCAGACUCCUCCGGGAGGCGGCAGUGGGGAAUAUUGGAGAAUGGGCGCAAGACUGAUCCAGACAUAUCGCGUGGGUGAAGAAGGCCUUCGGGUUGUAAAGCCCUUUUGUUGGGAAAGAAAAGAAGAAGGUUAAUACCCCGCUGUUCUGACGGUACACAAAGAAUAAACACCGGCUAACUUCGUG